rnacentral:rRNA from 1 species
UACGUAGGGACCGAGCGUUGUCCGGAAUCAUUGGGCGUAAAGAGCGUGUAGGCGGCCACUUAAGUCCUGCGUGAAAUCUUGCGGCUCAACCGCAAGCGGUCGUGGGAAACUGGGUGGCUAGAGUGCGGGAGAGGAGAGUGGAAUUCCUGGUGUAGCGGUGGAAUGCGCAGAUAUCAGGAAGAACACCCGUGGCGAAGGCGGCUCUCUGGAACGCAACUGACGCUGAAGACGCGAAAGCGUGGGGAGCAAACAGG